rnacentral:rRNA from 1 species
AUGAACGCUGGCGGCACCGAUAAGUCAUGCAAGUCAUGCGGGCUCGUAGCAAUACGAGUACCGCGGCGAACGAGUUAGUAACACAUUGGUAUCUACCUUUUAGUCGGGCAUAACUAGUCGAAAGAUUAGCUAAUUCCCGAUAGUCUCGUAAGAGUAAAGACGCGAGUCGCUAAGAGAGGAGCCUAUGUCCUAUCAGCUUGUUGGCGGGGUAACGGCCCACCAAGGCUAUGACGGGUAGGGGGUGUGAGAGCACGACCCUCAACGACGAAACUGAGAUACGGUUCGUACACCUACGGGUGGCAGCAGACGAGAAUAUUCGACAAUGGGCGAAAGCCUGAUCGAGGGAUGCCGCGUGCAGGAAGAAGGGCUUCGGCCUGUAAACUGCUUUUGUAUGGGAAGAACUUUGACGGUACCAUAAGAAUAAGGGGUUGCUAACCUCGU